AACCCAACCCGACGAAAGGGAGGGGUAGGCGACCGUAAGGUAGUGGUCGGUGAUUGGGGUG
rnacentral:rRNA from 1 species